UGCGAAGAAGGAUGUGUUUUCUUCCCCUCUGCCAUGAUUGCAAAUUUCCUGAGGCCUCCGAAGCCAUGCUAAACUGAAUUAGAUUAUCUCCAGAAGCAAAGGAAAUGUAAAGAAAUGGACAGGUUACUUUCAGGAUUAAUUCCAGACACAGUGCAGAACCCAGCACAUUUCAAGGCCAUAUGAUGUGGUUUUUGUUGAUUUGUAAACCAGCUUCUGGUUUUGAAAAGGAAAUUG